UACGUAGGUGGCAAGCGUUGUCCGGAUUUACUGGGCGUAAAGGGCGUGCAGGCGGUUUGUUAAGUCUAGGGUGAAAGCUCCCGGCUCAACUGGGAGAGGUCCUUGGAUACUGGCGAACUUGAGGGAUGCAGAGGAAAGUGGAAUUCCCGGUGUAGUGGUGAUAUGCGUAGAUAUCUGGAGGAACACCGGUGGCGAAGGCGGCAUCCUGGACCGGUAUUGACGCUGAGGCGCGAAAGCCAGGGGAGCAAACGGG
rnacentral:rRNA from 1 species